rnacentral:rRNA from 1 species
UACGGGGGGGGCAAGCGUUGUUCGGAAUUACUGGGCGUAAAGGGCGCGUAGGCGGCCUUCUAAGUCAGACGUGAAAUCCCCAGGCUUAACUUGGGAACUGCGUCUGAUACUGGGAGGCUUGAAUGCGGGAGAGGGAUGUGGAAUUCCAGGUGUAGCGGUGAAAUGCGUAGAUAUCUGGAGGAACACCGGUGGCGAAGGCGGCAUCCUGGACCGACAUUGACGCUGAGGCGCGAAAGCCAGGGGAGCAAACGGG